AUUUACUACACUCUUUGGUUGAGAGGAAUUCAACAUAAGUUUUACAAAACCCUCUACACAUACCCUGUAGAUCCGAAAUUUGUCUUUAGAAAUUCGACAAAUUCGGUUCUAGAGAGGUUUGUGUGGUAUUUUAGACUGCCAUCUCACCUCCAGUUGUAUACACUCAUGGCUUUGCACAAGUGAAUUUUCAGAUUCAAACGGCGGCACGCUGAUCAAGCACUGAGGAUACAACUAUUUUAACGCCUGGGAUAUUUUCUUGCCUACUCUUUCAAAUGAAGGCAACUUAUUUCCUGCACUUACUUAAAACCUCGUUUUAUGCUCGGAAUUCGGUACUUACGUCUGCCUUUUUAUACUGGUGAGUCAAAUAUAGAUACUUCUUUAAAAA